rnacentral:lncRNA from 1 species
UUUUUUUUUUUUUUUUUGCUUUUUAGGGCUGUACCCAUCACAUAUGGAGGUUACCAGGCUACGGGUCGAAUCAGCGCUACAGCUGCUGAUCUACACCAUAGCCACAGCAACACCAGAUCCGAGCUGUGUCUGCGACUUAUGCCAUAGCAACACCAGAGCCCAGCUGUGUCUGCGACCUACACCGCAGCUCACGGCAACUCGGGAUCCUUAACCCACUGAGUGAGGACAGGGAUCGAACCCACAUCCUCAUGGAUACUAGUUGGGUUCUUUACUACUGAGCCACAACAGGAACUCCGGGAGUCCUUUCUUACAGCACAACUGAACACGCUCCUUUGUUUUGACUUGAUCUUUUUUUUUUUUUUUUUUUUUUUUUUUGAUGGUGAAGUUUCAUGUACUUUUAAGAACCCAUCAGUUUUUUUUUGCUGCCUGACACAUCACCACAACCUUCCAGCUUCCUCUGCUUGGGGUCCCACAGGGCCACAACAUAGGUUGUGCCAUGUCUGCAACCUAACUGAAGCUUGAAGCAACAUCGUAUCCUUAACCCACUGAGCGAGGCCAGGAAUCGAACCUCGCAGAGGCUAUGUUGGGGUCUUAACCCACUGAGCCACAAGGGGAACGCCACUGUCACCUAUUUUACCUAGGCGGAAUUAAAUACUGCAGACACCUGUGCUGGUUUCCACUCUUCUGAAGCCCCCUCCAAAGUGCCAGGGUUUUUCUGUCUCGCCCAACCUCAGCUGAUGGAUGUAAACAAUCUGCCCAGGUCCAUCACCUGCUGGCAUCACCAACUCACACUCCCGAUGGAUGAAGAUUCAUUGUUGUUGUCUGACCAUAAGCAGUUCCUCAGCUUUUACCCGAGUGGACCCACACAGACAGCUCAUUGAAUUGUCUUAACAGCCAUAAUUUCUGUCUCGAACUGCAGUUUUAUAUGUCCACAACUUAACUGAUCAGGCACUCUGCCUGCUCCCACAGUGAUUUCUUUUUCUUUUNNNNNNNNNNNNNNNNNNNNNNNNNNNNNNNNNNNNNNNUUUUUUUGUCUUUUUGCCAUUUCUUGGGCUGCUCAUUUAAGUUCAUUGCUGUGGGCAAGACACUGCAAGACACAUAGAAAAGGUAGAUGCUGGGCAGAGGGAAGUGGGCAGCUGUGGUCCAGCCAGGGCGCGGCACACCGGGGUACCUGUGUUUGCUUGUGAAGAGUCCUUCGUUCAUGCACGAGACACUCCUUUUAUAG